rnacentral:lncRNA from 1 species
AAUGAAUCUCGAUGGAUCCCUUCAGGGCACUCACUCCAUAUCUCAGCUCUGCUACGCCAACACCAGUUGUUUGUUUGCCGAUGAGCUACCAAAUAGAGAGCAGAAAAUAAGAGGAAGAUGAUGAUUUUAGUGAAGGAAAUCGCUGAUUCAGAGCCUUUAAUUACAUACAUCAUGAGAGACAAGACAACGAGAGAAGAGGGAUCAAAUCGAUCGGCAUAAUGGAGAAUGCCACUAAUGAACUGUCCUAAAGCAAUUCCACGCAUUAGCAAAUGAGUAUAACGAAGGAGAAAGGGGAAAAAAGGAGUGUAAGAGUGGAAAUACCACCAAAAGCUGGUUGUCAGCCUUACACGAUUAGAAAGACCCAAAAGUUCUU